GGAAAGGUGACUGAGUGGCUUAAAGUGAAGAUCUGCUAAAUCUUUGUGUAAACAUUAAUUUGCACCGUGGGUUCGAAUCCCACUCUUUCCU